rnacentral:rRNA from 1 species
GACGAACGCUGGCGGCGUGCUUAACACAUGCAAGUCGAACGGAAAGGCCCUGCUUUUGUGGGGUGCUCGAGUGGCGAACGGGUGAGUAACACGUGAGUAACUUGCCCUUGACUUUGGGAUAACUUCAGGAAACUGGGGCUAAUACCGGAUAGGAGCUCCUGCUGCAUGGUGGGGGUUGGAAAGUUUCGGCGGUUGGGGAUGGACUCGCGGCUUAUCAGCUUGUUGGUGGGGUAGUGGCUUACCAAGGCUUUGACGGGUAGCCGGCCUGAGAGGGUGACCGGCCACAUUGGGACUGCGAUACGGCCCAGACUCCUACGGGAGGCAGCAGUGGGGAAUAUUGCACAAUGGGCGGAAGCCUGAUGCAGCAACGCCGCGUGCGGGAUGACGGCCUUCGGGUUGUAAACCGCUUUCGCCUGUGACGAAGCGUGAGUGACGGUAAUGGGUAAAGAAGCACCGGCUAACUACGUG